AUUCUUAAAAAAUUGCAAAAUAACCCUUUUUCGGGUUAAAAUCGAAAAAUAACCCUUUUUCGGGUUAAAAUUGAAAAAAGAUGUUACAUAAAAAUAGUUUGUAAGAUUUUCUAACAGCAUAUAUGCAAAGUAUUUUGAUUUAUUUGAAAAUAAUUGAAAAUAGAUUUUUCAAGGACGGUGUCGAGGUCACGGGGUCGGUGUCGUUUUUCGAAAUUUGUUAACUUAAUAUAAUAGAAGAUGUUUCGUUUUAAAUUAGGAAAUGUUAAAAUUAUUAAGUUAAAAACAUUUGAUUUUAAUGACACUUAAAAUUAGACACAAUAUUAUAGGUUACUAACUAAAAAUUGAAAAAACAACAAUAAAUAAUAAAAAAUAAUAAUAAAAAAUUGAAAAAAUCAAAAAAUUCUUAAAAAAUUGCAAAAUAACCCUUUUUCGGGUUAAAAUCGAAAAAUAACCCUUUUUCGGGUUAAAAUUGAAAAAAGAUGUUACAUAAAAAUAGUUUGUAAGAUUUUCUAACAGCAUAUAUGCAAAGUAUUUUGAUUUAUUUGAAAAUAAUUGAAAAUAGAUUUUUCAAGGACGUGUCGAGGUCACGGGGUCGGUGUCGUUUUUCGAAAUUUGUUAACUUAAUAUAAUAGAAGAUGUUUCGUUUUAAAUUAAGAAAUGUUAAAAUUAUUAAGUUAAAAACAUUUGAUUUUAAUGACACUUAAAAUUAGACACAAUAUUAUAGGUUACUAACUAAAAAUUGAAAAAACAACAAUAAAUAAUAAAAAAUAAUAAUAAAAAAUUGAAAAAAUCAAAAAAUUCUUAAAAAAUUGCAAAAUAACCCUUUUUCGGGUUAAAAUUGAAAAAAGAUGUUACAUAAAAAUAGUUUGUAAGAUUUUCUAACAGCAUAUAUGCAAAGUAUUUUGAUUUAUUUGAAAAUAAUUGAAAAUAGAUUUUUCAAGGACGGUGUCGAGGUCACGGGGUCGGUGUCGUUUUUCGAAAUUUGUUAACUUAAUAUAAUAGAAGAUGUUUCGUUUUAAAUUAAGAAAUGUUAAAAUUAUUAAGUUAAAAACAUUUGAUUUUAAUGACACUUAAAAUUAGACACAAUA